rnacentral:lncRNA from 1 species
UAAUAUACUAUAUUUAUCUGCCAUUCUAUUACUAACCUUUAACAAAAUGGACCCUCGGUAAUACUAAAUAUAUUAUCAGUGGGAGACCAUUAGUAAUACUAACACUUUUCUUAUAUUUUCAGUGGUGGUUUUUAUUCCCACAUUUAUUUUAUUUACUGUAUGGUGUAGGUUUAUUACCCAUACAACAGUAUUUAUUUAAAAGGGUGGUGCGGGUUUAUCGUCCACGCCUUUACUUUUAUUUAAAUGUAUGGAGCAGAAUUAGUGCCCAUACAAGCACGUUUACUUUACCGCAAAUUUACUUUUACUUAAAGUAUGAUGUGGAAUUGACCCUCAUACUUUAUGAAAUU